UACAGAGGGGGCAAGCGUUAUUCGGAAUUAUUGGGCGUAAAGGGCGCGUAGGCGGCCUGGCAAGUGGAUGGUGAAAUCCCUCGGCUUAACCGAGGAACUGCCAUCCAGACUGCUUGGCUUGAGACCGGGAGAGGUGAGUGGAAUUCCCAGUGUAGCGGUGAAAUGCGUAGAUAUUGGGAGGAACACCAGUGGCGAAGGCAGCUCGCUGGGACGUGACUGACGCUGAGACGCGAAAGCGUGGGGAGCAAACAGG
rnacentral:rRNA from 1 species